rnacentral:rRNA from 1 species
UAAUACAUCGGAACGUGUCCUGUCGUGGGGGAUAACCAGUCGAAAGACUGGCUAAUACCGCAUGAGAUCGAGAGAUGAAAGCAGGGGACCGCAAGGCCUUGCGCGAUUGGAGCGGCCGAUGUCGGAUUAGCUAGUUGGCGGGGUAAAGCCCACCAAGGCGACGAUCCGUAGCUGGUUUGAGAGAACGACCAGCCACACUGGGACUGAGACACGGCCCAG